GACGAACGCUGGCGGCGUGCCUAAUACAUUCAAGUCGAGCGGACCACACCGGAGCUUGCUCUUGUUUGGUUAGCUGCGGACGGGUUAGUAACACGUGGUUAACCUGCCCUUUAUACCGGGAUAACUCCGGUAAACCGUCGCUAAUACCCGCUAACACCGACCACCGCCUGGUCUUUGGUUGAAAUGCGGCUUCGUCUUCCACUUACGGAUGGGCCCGCGGCGCAUUAGCUAGUUGGUGAGGUAACGGCUCACCAAGGCGACGAUGCGUAGCCGGCCUGAGAGGGUCCGGCCACACUGGGACUGAGACACGGCCCAGAAUCCUACGGGAGGCAGCAGUACGGAAUGUUCCGCAAUAGACGAAAGGCUGACGGAGGGACGAGGCGGGAGGGAAGAAGAAAGUGGGAUCGUAAAGAACGGAAGUUAGGGAAGAAGAAGCGAAGGACGAAGAGGGCGGCAGAGUGACGGUACAAAAAGAGAAAGACCCGGAUAACUACAGG
rnacentral:rRNA from 1 species